rnacentral:tRNA from 1 species
GGGGAUGUGGCUCAGUGGUUGAGCACUUGCCUAGCAUGCACAAGGGUCUGAGUUCCAUCCCCA